rnacentral:rRNA from 1 species
UACGUAGGGUGCAAGCGUUAAUCGGAAUUACUGGGCGUAAAGCGUGCGCAGGCGGUUCGGAAAGAGAGGUGUGAAAUCCCAGGGCUUAACCUUGGAACUGCACUUCUAACUACCGGGCUAGAGUACGUCAGAGGGGGGUAGAAUUCCACGUGUAGCAGUGAAAUGCGUAGAGAUGUGGAGGAAUACCGAUGGCGAAGGCAGCCCCCUGGGAUGAUACUGACGCUGAGGAGCGAAAGCCAGGGGAGCAAACGGG